rnacentral:tRNA from 1 species
GGGCUGGGGCUCAGCGGCAGAGCCCUCGCCUUGCAUGUGUGAGACCCUGAGUUCAAUCCUCAGCACCACA